rnacentral:rRNA from 1 species
CAGGAGCUGGGCGAGCCUGAUCAGCCAUGCCGCGUGUGUGAAGAAGGUCUUCGGAUUGUAAAGCACUUUAAGUUGGGAGGAAGGGCAGUUACCUAAUACGUGAUUGUUUUGACGUUACCGACAGAAUAAGCACCGGCUAACUCUGUGCCAGCAGCCGCGGUAAUACAGAGGGUGCAAGCGUUAAUCGGAAUUACUGGGCGUAAAGCGCGCGUAGGUGGUUUGUUAAGUUGGAUGUGAAAUCCCCGGGCUCAACCUGGGAACUGCAUUCAAAACUGACUGACUAGAGUAUGGUASAGGGUGGUGGAAUUUCCUGUGURGCGGUGAAAUGCRURGAUAUAGGAAKGAACACCAGUGGCGAAGGCGACCACCUGGACUAWUACUGACACUGARGUGYGAAAGCGUGGGMAGCAAACAGGAUUARAUACCCUGGUAGUCCACSCYGUAAACSAUGUCAACUACCCGUUGG